UACAGAGACUGCGAGCGUUAUUCGGAUUCACUGGGCGUAAAGGGUGCGCAGGCGGCCAAGUGUGUGAGGCGUGAAAGCCCGGGGCUUAACCCCGGAAUUGCACCUCAAACUACAUGGCUAGAGCAUUGGAGAGGGAAGCGGAAUUCACGGUGUAGCAGUGAAAUGCGUAGAUAUCGGGAGGAACACCAGUGGCGAAGGCGACUACCUGGCCUGUUCUUGACGCUGAGGCGCGAAAGCUAGGGGAGCAAACGGG
rnacentral:rRNA from 1 species